UACGGAGGGUGCAAGCGUUAUCCGGAUUCACUGGGUUUAAAGGGUGCGUAGGCGGGUAAGUAAGUCCGUGGUGAAAUCUCUGAGCUUAACUCAGAAACUGCCGUGAAUACUAUUUGCCUUGAAUAUUGUGGAGGUGAGCGGAAUAUGUCAUGUAGCGGUGGAAUGCGUAGAGAUCGGGAAGAACAUCGGUGGCGAAGGCGGCCUGCUGGGCUCUUGCUGACACUGAGGCGCGACAGCGUGGGGAGCAAACAGG
rnacentral:rRNA from 1 species